rnacentral:rRNA from 1 species
UGGGGAAUAUUGGACAAUGGGCGGAAGCCUGAUCCAGCAACGCCGCGUGAGGGAUGACGGCCUUCGGGUUGUAAACCUCUUUCAGCAGGGACGAAGCGCAAGUGACGGUACCUGCAGAAGAAGCACCGGCCAACUACGUGCCAGCAGCCGCGGUAAUACGUAGGGUGCGAGCGUUGUCCGGAAUUAUUGGGCGUAAAGGGCUCGUAGGCGGUUUGUCGCGUCGGGAGUGAAAACCAGGUGCUUAACACCUGGCUUGCUUUCGAUACGGGCAGACUAGAGGUAUUCAGGGGAGAACGGAAUUCCUGGUGUAGCGGUGAAAUGCGCAGAUAUCAGGAGAAACACCGGUGGCGAAGGCGGUUCUCUGGGAAUGACCUGACGCUGAGGAGCGAAAGUGUGGGGAGCGAACAGGAUUAGAUACCCUGGUAGUCCACACCGUAAACGUUGGGCGCUAGGUGUGGGGUCCAUUCCACGGAUUCCGUGCCGCAGCUAACGCAUUAAGCGCCCCGCCU